rnacentral:tRNA from 1 species
GGAGAGGUGGCAGAGCGGUCGAUUGCGGCGGACUUGAAAUCCGCUGACCCGAAAGGGUCCGGGGGUUCGAAUCCCUCCCUCUCCGCCA